AUAAUGACGAAGACUUUAACCAACUAAUUGUAGGAGGUUACAGAAACGAUGACAGUUUAUUAACAAAGUUUAUAGUUUCUAUCAGAAUUGGAACUUACCAAAUCGCUUACGGUGAUAAUGAUAUAUGUGGUGGAGCUAUCAUAUCAAAACGCACUAUUUUAACUGCUGCACAUUGUAUAGUGUUCAUCAAUUCAACUGAAAAAAUCCCAAUCUCUGAAUUAUCCGUAAUUGCUGGAUCAAGAUUUCGCUUAAGAGCCACAACCACAACUCAAAAGAUGGCGAUAUAGGUAUCUUGCAAUUGCAAGACAGUCUUAUAUUUGAUGGUAGGACUGUAAUGUCAAUAUCUAUAGCAAAAGA